rnacentral:rRNA from 1 species
CUUGUCUGUAAGACGAGGAUAACAGUUGGAAACGACUGCUAAAACUGGAUAGGAUAUAAAAUCGCAUGAUUUAAUAUUUAAAAGUGCAAAUGCACUACUUAAAGAGGGGCCUGCGGUGCAUUAGCUAGUUGGUGAGGUAACGGCCCACCAAGGCAACGAUGCAUAGCUGUGCUGAGAGGCAAAACAGCCACACUGGGACUGAGACACGGCCCAGACUCCUACGGGAGGCAGCAGUGGGGAAUCUUCCGCAAUGGGCGAAAGCCUGACGGAGCAACGCCGCGUGAGUGAUGAAGGUCUUCGGACUGUAAAACUCUGUUGUCGGGGACGAAGGUGCGCUAUGCGAACAGUUUAGCGUAUUGACGGUACCUGACGAGGAAGCCACGGCUAACUACGUGCCAGCAGCCGCGGUAAUACGUAGGUGGCAAGCGUUGUCCGGAAUUAUUGGGCGUAAAGAGCAUGUAGGCGGACUUUUAAGUCUGGCGUGAAAAUGCGGGGCUCAACCCCGUAUGGCGUUGGAUACUGGAAGCCUUGAGUGCAGGAGAGGAAAGGGGAAUUCCCAGCGUAGCGGUGAAAUGCGUAGAUAUUGGGAGGAACACCAGUGGCGAAGGCGCCUUUCUGGACUGUGUCUGACGCUGAGAUGCGAAAGCUAGGGUAGCAAACGGGAUUAGAUACCCCGGUAGUCCUAGCUGUAAACGAUGGGUACUA